rnacentral:rRNA from 1 species
UACGUAGGGUUCAAGCGCUAUCCGGAAUCACUGGGCGUAAAGCGUGCGUAGGCGGGUAUUUAAGUGCAAUGCGAAAUCCCACGGCUCAACCGUGUGGACUGCAGGGUAUACUGGAUACCUAGAGGACGGCAGAGGCAAGUGGAAUUACAGGUGUAGGGGUGAAAUCCGUAGAUAUCUGUAGGAACACCAAUGGCGAAGGCAGCUUGCUGGGCCGACCCUGACGCUAAGGCACGAAAGCGUGGGGAGCGAACAGG